rnacentral:rRNA from 1 species
CCUACGGGAGGCUGCAGUGGGGAAUCUUGCGCAAUGGGCGAAAGCCUGACGCAGCCAUGCCGCGUGGAUGAUGAAGGCCUUAGGAUUGUAAAAUCCUUUCAGCGGGGACGAUAAUGACGGUACCCGCAGAAGAAGCCCCGGCUAACUUCGUGCCAGCAGCCGCGGUAAUACGAAGGGGGCUAGCGUUGCUCGGAAUUACUGGGCGUAAAGGGCGCGUAGGCGGAUAGUUAAGUUGGGGGUGAAAGCCCGGGGCUCAACCUCGGAAUUGCCUUCAAUACUGGCUAUCUUGAGUACGGGAGAGGUGUGUGGAACUCCGAGUGUAGAGGUGAAAUUCGUAGAUAUUCGGAAGAACACCAGUGGCGAAGGCGACACACUGGCCCGUUACUGACGCUGAGGCGCGAAAGCGUGGGGAGCAAACAGGAUUAGAUACCCUGGUAGUC